rnacentral:rRNA from 1 species
CCUANGGGCGGCAGCAGUAAGGAAUCUUUCGCAAUGGGGGAAACCCUGACGAAGCAACACCGCGUGGAGGAUGAAGGCGUUUUCGUCGUAAACUCCUUUUCUGAGGGAAUAAAUCUGAAGGUACCUCAGGAAUAAGCAACGGCUAACUACGUGCCAGCAGCCGCGGUAAGACGUAGGUUGCAAGCGUUAUCCGGAAUUAUUGGGCGUAAAGAGUUCGUAGGUGGUUUGUUAAGUUGGAUGUCAAAGCCUUGAGCUCAACUCAAGACAGGUGUCCAAAACUAGCAGACUAGAGACAGGCAGAGGCAAGUGGAAUUCUGUAUGUAGGGGUAAUAUCCGUAGAUAUACAGAGGAACACCAAAAGCGAAGGCAGCUUGCUGGGCCUGUUCUGACACUCAAGAACGAAAGCGUGGGGAGCAAACGGGAUUAGAUACCCUANUANUC